rnacentral:rRNA from 1 species
GGUAUUUUGACUAUACAAAGGUAUUGAAAUAAGACUUUAAUUGAGUGCUAAGAGAAGGAAUAACAAAAAAUUUCUGUCUUAAAAUUAAAAAUUAAAAUUAUUUUUUUUGUGAAGAAACAAAAAUUUUAAUUAAGGACAAGAAGACCCUAAGAAUUUUAAAAAUUAUUAAAUUAGUUAUUAAUUAAUUAAUACUUUUUUAAUUGGGGCGAUUAAUAAAUAUUUAAAACUUUAUUAUUUUAUAAUAUGAACCAUUAUUAAUGGUUUUUUGAAAAAAAUACUCUAGGGAUAACAGCGUAAUAAUUUUUGAUAGUUCAUAUAGACAAAAUAGUUUGCGACCUCGAUGUUGGAUUAGGAUUCUUUUUUAAUGAAGAAGUUAAAAA